UACGUAGGGUGCGAGCGUUAAUCGGAAUUACUGGGCGUAAAGCGUGCGCAGGCGGUUCGUUGUGUCUGAUGUGAAAGCCCCGGGCUCAACUUGGGAAUGGCAUUGGAAACUGGCGAGCUAGAGUGUGGCAGAGGGGGGUGGAAUUCCGCGUGUAGCAGUGAAAUGCGUAGAGAUGCGGAGGAACACCGAUGGCGAAGGCAGCCCCCUGGGCUAGCACUGACGCUCAGGCACGAAAGCGUGGGGAGCAAACAGG
rnacentral:rRNA from 1 species